rnacentral:rRNA from 1 species
UAAGGAAUAUUGGACAAUGGAGGCAACUCUGAUCCAGCCAUGCCGCGUGAAGGAAUAAGGCCCUAUGGGUUGUAAACUUCUUUUAGACGGGACAAAACCCCUUUACGUGUAAAGGGUUGAUGGUACUGUCAGAAUAAGCAUCGGCUAACUUCGUGCCAGCAGCCGCGGUAAUACGAAGGAUGCAAGCGUUAUCCGGAAUUAUUGGGUUUAAAGGGUGCGUAGGCGGACUAAUAAGUCAGUGGUGAAAGCCUGCAGCUUAACUGCAGAAUUGCCAUUGAUACUGUUAGGCUUGAGUACAGUUGAGGUAGGCGGAAUGUGUCAUGUAGCGGUGAAAUGCUUAGAUAUGACACAGAACACCGAUUGCGAAGGCAGCUUGCUAAGCUGUAACUGACGCUGAGGCACGAAAGCGUGGGGAGCAAACA